rnacentral:lncRNA from 1 species
CUUUUUGAAAAAUGCCUCAUUUUAAGGUAGAAAUUAGAAAGCUCGAAAAAAAAGUAAUUGAGUGAUAGUCUUUUUGAAAAUAAUAAAUUAGGUACAAAUUUCAAACGAUCUAAUAUUUCAACCGGUUUCUUCGCCAACUUUGGGUAGGGUGUCUUGAUUCAGAGGUGAUUUUUUAGGACCAUUGCUACAAUCCAUAACAAACUUUCUACAUCUGUAUGAUAUGAACCAAAAAAUGUUCCAAUAGAUACCAACACUUCUAACAUACACGAACAAGAAACAUGAACAAUAAAGAGACCAAAACAACAAAUUGAAAAGUAAAAAAUAUUAUUUGAUAUAAAAGAUGGCAUAGUUUAUAGUGAAUAUUUACAUGUAUAUAUGUGUUGUGUACUUGUGUGUAUGUUUUCAUAGUAGAUAUGCUAAUCAAACAACAUGGGAGUAGGGGAGUACAUAUUAUAGCAAACUUCCUUUUUAUGCCUAAAACCAAUCACUUUAAACAUAAUAUAUAGCAACAUUAUAAGUUUUCAUGGUACAUGUGCUAAUACACCCACAUUGUUGGGUUUUGUGAUGAAACAUGAACAUCUUAAAGCCAAAUAGUCAGUCUGUUAGCAUUUACAUUUGUAUAUUAUUUUGCAUCCAAAUGACAAAAAGACGACACAAAAAACAGAAGGAAGAGCAUUUAAACAAAAAAUCAAAAUCAAAUAAAAACAAUAUAUGACAUACCGAAAUUCCAAAAUACAACAGAGCACAAACGGUUGGUGGCUGAUGUUUGGUGGCGACAAUUGAGUGAAGACGGUCAAACCCACAAACUCGAAGACAUUGCUCAAAAACACAGAAGGAUUAGAAGGAAGAGCAAUUGAACAGAAAAUCAUAAUAUAAUUGAAACAUUAUACAACAUACCGGAAUUCGUCACAACACCAGAUAGAAAUUCAAGUCUCCUACUGACUGAUCAUUAAUCAAAAUCAAGAAAUAAGAAUUUCAGAAUAUCACCAAAUCUGUAAACUUACAUAUUCUGAACAUUUAUAAAAGCCCAAAAAUGAAAAUCGGCUAAUUGCUUAUUGCUUUGACGCAAUAAGUGGAUAUCUUGAUUGGCUAAUGUGGUCAAUUUCAUUUGUUGCUUAUAUUCAAAAGGAUCUUAGAACCAAAGCGAAUGUUAUACAAUUAGGCCGUGCACUUCCUCAAGCACAGGGACCAUAUGAAUGCAUCCAUCCCCUUGUAAUAUUCUCCAAUUAUUGAUAAUCAUGUUGGAUGAUAAUUCAUGUCUUAAAUGGUAUCUUAUGUGAAUGUUUAUAGCUACAAUGGAUGAUAAAGAAAAGAGUGAGUAUGAAAAUAUGGUGUAAUUUUUUUUAUAUUAUGAAGAAUUUACUCAUAUCAUGAUGGGUUUAAUUUGAUAUCUGGUUUCUAACAGCUAAUAUGGUUAAUUUCAUUUGUUGUCUUAUAGUCGAAAGGAUCUUAGAGCCAAAGAUAAUGUUAUACAAUUAGGUCGUGCACUUCCUUAUCCUAACACAAUUGACCUAUCUCAAGUUACUGAACUCUCUUGGCGACCAAGGUCAGGUACUUUGAUGUUAUAUCUGUUAAGGAUAUGAUGCUUAUUUAUAAACUAUAAUUUUUGUUUUGAGUGACAAGAUGAUAAUUUUAAGAUUAUCAUUUUGGAGAUGAUUUUGACAUGGUCUUUCUUUGGAUCCGAUAGGGUAUUCUUGUACAAAGGCUUUCUAUCUUAUGAAGAGUGUGACCACCUUUCUUUAGAAAUUGAAGUAAGUUUUGUUCAUCUAUGUUAAAUUUUCAUUUUUAGGCUUUCAUUAAUGUUCAGAAUAUGUAAGUUUACAGAUUUGGUCCAUAUGCUUUACUCAAUGUCACAAAGUUUGUCCAGUUAUACAACUUUCCAACUAAACUUACCAUCCCAAUUCCACCUCACCCCAUAUUUAUCAUAUUCUUCUAUAUUUAUCAACAUACAAAUAAUAACCCAUACAAAAAACACCAUUGUAUGAUGAUAUAACCCAAAUUCUAUACCACCCUCCGAUCCAUACAACUCCAUCUCACCCCAUAACGUCCCACUUGAGAUGCUAUAAAAAGGGUUAAUAUACAUCACGACUUAAUUAUGUUAUCCUAAUGUAAGUUAAAUUAUCUAUUUCUUGAUUAACUGUUUGUUUUUUAUAUAUAUUGAAAUUGUGAAACAUUAUAUUGAAUUCAUAAAUGAAUAGUCUUUUUAUGGAUUGGUGUUAGAAAUGAUGGGUGAUGAACUGGAAAUGAGAGUCGCAUCCACAAAUGCAUACAUAUUGAUUUUUACUUCUUCAGUGCUCCAUAAGUCGCUCAGGAGUGAGUCAUGGCAACAUAAAUAAUUGACUUCAAUAUUCAAAUACACUUUAUUAAUAUAUAAAAUAUUUUGCAGGAUUUCGAGGGAAGUAUUAUCUUUGGGGGGUGGGGGCAGAUUUUAGAGCCAAAAACAACGAGCCUUGUGCGUGAUGGAGUCCAAAAAAAUGUUUGAAAGUGGAACUGAAAAUAGAAAUUCAAAGUGGAAAAGAAAAGCAAUACGUAAGUCGAUAUCGUAAGUUUUUGGUCGAGAAUUCAAAGUUCUUGAUCAACAUACCCAGAUCGAAAUUCAAAGUGGAACAUAAAAGCAAUACAGAAGUCGAUAUCCUAAGUUUUUGAUUGAGAAUUCGAAGUUCUUGAUUGACAUACCCAGAUCGAAAUUCAAAGUGGAACAAAAAAGCAAUACUCGAUAUCCUAAUUUUCGAUUGAGAAUUCGAAGUUCUUGAUCGACAUACCCAGAUCGAAAUUCAAAGUGGAACAGAAAAGCAAUAUGGAAUUUGAUAUCCUAAGUUUUUGGUCGAGAAUUCAAAGUUCUUGAUCGACAUACGCAGAAUUGAAGUUACUGAUCGACAAGGUGUAAGAAACGUCAUAUCUAGAAUUCGAAUGUCAAACCCUCAACGUUGGAAAGGAAGAAAUUCGAAAUUGAAAACAAGAAAUCAAUAGUGUAUACAAACGACAGAGAACAUACCCAGAUUUCAAAUUGCAAUAGAGACGGUUGGAGGCAGCCACGAACCACAGACCCGUUCAGUGGGGACGGAAGUGGAAAUCCUUAGUUUUGAUCAAGAUUGCAACCCAUAAUCUAAAUCCUAAAUCUUGAUCGAGAAGACAAAGAAGACGUCAAACCCACAUAGUCGGAGAGGAAGAAAGGGAGGAGUCCGAAGAAAUUGUGAAACAUAUGAAGGAGAAUGUGAAUGAUUUAGAUCAAAUAAUUCAAAUGUUAAUUAAAUUAAUAGCAAAAAACUAAAAAG